rnacentral:rRNA from 1 species
UACGCAGGGUGCGAGCGUUGUCCGGAAUUAUUGGGCGUAAAGGGCUCGUAGGCGGUUUGUCGCGUCGGGAGUGAAAACCCAGGGCUUAACCCUGGGCUGGCUUUCGAUACGGGCAGACUAGAGGUAUGCAGGGGAGAACGGAAUUCCUGGUGUAGCGGUGAAAUGCGCAGAUAUCAGGAGGAACACCGGUGGCGAAGGCGGUUCUCUGGGCAUUACCUGACGCUGAGGAGCGAAAGUGUGGGGAGCGAACAGG